UGAUAAUGUAGUUUGGGGUAAGAGAAGGGAAAGUGGGAAUGUAGGUUUAAAAGAAGUGGAAAUUCAGGGUGGGACAAGAGAGAGAAAACGGAAUAGGAAUGAAAUGUAAGAUUAGAGAAGGAGGUGUAAUUUAAGGUAGGAAUGAAUAGGAACAUAGUAUAGGGUAAGAGAAAGAGUGUACGAAGUGAGCACAAGAUGGGAUGAUAGGAGAAUGGGGUUUGUAGUAUGUAAGGAGGUUGAGAAAAUGA